rnacentral:lncRNA from 1 species
CUGAAGUUGGGAAGAAGGAAUAACAGUAACACAGAUGAAGACGACUCACCAGCUAGGGCAGGGCCAACCACUGUGCGGUCCUUGGGCUCAUCACACACCCACUCCUCACAGCAUUUCCCGGGCAGCUUGACCCUUCUCGGGAAGGGGCAGUCAGGGCUGGGCAGGCGCACGUCCAUGCUGCACAGGGGCACACAGCCCACGGCCCCAUCCAGGCAAGUGCACUGGUAUUUGCAACUGCUUUGGAAGGACUCGCCGCUGCGGUACACGGACCCACCGAAGACACAGGGUGCACCAUCUUUGGCUGCAGGAAAGGAAGACAAAGAUGUAGAGGUCAGACAGGGGUCCCAGGGAUCAGAAUAGCUGUAUCACUGUACAUGUCAAGGUGGUGAGCUAGGGUCAGGACUGCAGGGGGCCGGUUGGAAGCUGCUGCAGACAAGGGCUUUUUUUUUUUUCCUAGAGGGCUGGAAUAGAGGCUGCGGGUCUUACCAGUGCACACGCCAAUCUUGCGGUUGGCGGGGGAGCCGAAGUCGCAGAAGAGACCCUUGUGUGGGUCGCAGGGAUCACGCUCCGUGCACAGUUCUCCCAGCUGCUUGGCGCAGACGCGGCAGCAGCCGCAGCCGUCCAGCACCAGGCUCACGCCGGCGGGGCAGCGCGGCGCCGCUUCAGCUGCGCACUGACACUGCGCGCUGCAGUCCUGGCCGGUGGCAGGCUGCGGAGAGGAAGGGGAGGGCGGUCAGUCUGAGAUCGCAGCUCACUUUGCCCUCCCUCCGUCCUGUCCGUCAGUCCUGGAGCUUACCCGGGUGCAGAGGAGGAGCACCAAGGCGAGGCUAACGGGACCCGCGACGGAGGCGAGCAUGGUCGGGGCGCGGCAGGAGGACGCACAGCGGGGUGCAGAGGCGACGAGGGGCGCGGCCGGAGCCUG